AUUGAACGCUGGCGGCAGGCCUAACACAUGCAAGUCGAACGGUAACAGGAAGAAGCUUGCUUCUUUGCUGACGAGUGGCGGACGGGUGAGUUAUGACUGGGAAACUGCCUGAUGGAGGGGGAUAACUACUGGAAACGGUUGCUACUACCGCAUAACGUCGCAAGACCAAAGAGGGUGACCUUCGGGCCUCUCGCCAUCGGAUGUGCCCAGAUGGGUUUAGCUGGUGGGUGGGGUAACGGCUCACCUAGGCGACGACCCCUAGCUGGUCUGAGAGAAUGACAAGCCACACUGAAACUGAGAAAGGGUCCAAACUCCUAGGGAAGGCGGCGGGGGGAAAUAUUGAACAAGGGGGGAAGGCCUGAUGCAGCCAUGCGGCGUGUAUGAAGAAGGCCUUCGAGUUGUAAACUACUUUCAGCGGGGAGAAAGGGAGUAAGGUUAAAACCUGUGCUCAUUGACGUUACACGAAGAAGAGGCACCGGCAAACUCCGU
rnacentral:rRNA from 1 species